ensembl:lncRNA
GUCACCAAUGCACAGCCUCCUCCCUCCAACUCUUCCAUAGACUCUAAUGUUAAAAUGGCUCAGAAGGUUCGUUUGAAAAUCAGAAGAGCAUGGUGUCUUUCCACUGUCACCACGUCCAUAUAAUAAACUCCACAGACAUGAAAACUGAGAAUUCAGUAGACUAGACAUUGCUGUCGCUCACGGUGAAAGAAUUUUGUCAAUACGACUUUUACUUUUCAUUUGGGAACGAUUUGUUUCGGCCUGACUUUUCUGUUCAUUUUAAGCAGCAAAAGUGAGGCGCAUGUCUGUGUACGUGUGUAUGGAGCCAUUGGGUGCGGUCACUAUAGCAACCAGGCUCACACCUGCCUGCUUAACGAGCUCUGCCUGCCACUGUGCCAAGAUUCAUCUUAAGCACUUCUCUUUCAACUGCUGCUGUGUCCACAGUGUUACAGCCAUCAUUUUACCCUCAAAUUGUCGCCAUUAUUGUUCUCUUUCCAACACCGUGUCUUUCAAAGCUCAGGCAUUAAAACUUUUUAAACUGUGUGGAUCAAAGUGGAGGGAUCACAUUUGAGUCAUUCAGUGAUUCAAAGAAUAUGACCUUUUAAAAUUCAUUCAGAUGUUUUCUGACUCUAAAUGUUCUUUUCUCAUUUCUUAGGGUUUUCUAAUUUACAUUUAAAACAUUUUCAGUUUUUUUCCAACUUCUUCUUCUGUGUAACCUUCAGCUUUUAGCAGUUCAGCACCUUUGUUUUCAGGUUAAAUUCGUUUUUUUUUGUUGUUUUUUUUAAAUCUCAUUCAAUAUUUUUAACUCAAAAUUCAGCAAUUAAUUCAUUUCAGUCCAUACAUUCAGAUUCAAGCAUUCACACUGCAGUUUCUUCAGAAAAUGCACUUUCUAGUUCCAACAUGGACUUGAUUAUCACUUCAUAAUGAGUAAAAAGGUUUGCUUGAAAUUCUUGCAAUUUUAUUAAAAAUAGAAAAAAAAUAUGCCAUGUAAGUAUUCAAAGUCUUUGCUCAGUUUGAUGCUACUCGCUUUGCACACCUAUCUUUGGGCAGUUUCUCUCAUUCUUCUUUGCAGAAACUCUCAAGCUCCAUCAGGUUGGACAGAGUGGGAGUUGGUACACAGCCAUUUUCAGAUCUCAAACUUCAAUCAUGUUCAAGUCUGAGCUCUGGCUAAAGUCACUCCUUUGUUAUUUUGGCUGUGUGCUUAGUGUUGUUGUCCUGUUGGAAGAUGAACCUUCGCCCCAGU